GACGAACGCUGGCGGCGUGCCUAAUACAUGCAAGUUGAGCGCUGACGGUUGGUACUUGUACCAACUGGAUGAGCAGCGAACGGGUGAGUAACGCGUGGGGAAUCUGCCUUUGAGUGGGGGACAACAUCUGGAAACGAAUGCUAAUACUGCCUAAAAACUUUAACCACAAGAUUUAAGUUUGAAAGAUACCAUUGCAUCACUCAUAGAUGAUCCCGCGUUUUAUUAGCUAGCUGGGGAGGUAAAAGCCCAGCAAGGCGAUGGUACAUAGCCGGCCUGAAAGGGUGAUCGGCCAAAAUGGGACUGGGACACGGCCCAAACCCCUACGGGAGGCAGCAGUAGGGAAACUUCGGCAAAUGAGGAAAGUCUGGCCGAGCAACGCCGCGGUGGGGGAGAAGGUUUUCGGGUCGUAAAACUCUGUUGGUAGAGAAGAACGAUGGUGAGGGUAAAAAGCUCAUCAAGUGACGGUAACUAACCAGAUAGGGACGGCUAACUACGUG
rnacentral:rRNA from 1 species